GAUGAACGCUAGCGAUAGGCUUAACACAUGCAAGUCGAGGGGCAGCAUGGUCUUAGCUUGCUAAGACUGAUGGCGACCGGCGCACGGGUGCGUAACGCGUAUGCAACUUGCCUCACAGAGGGGGAUAACCCGUCGAAAGACGGACUAAUACCGCGUACACUCCAUCUUGGGCAUCCAAGGUAGAGGAAAUGAAAUUCGCUGUGAGAUAGGCAUGCGUCCCAUUAGCUAGUUGGUGAGGUAACGGCUCACCAAGGCGACGAUGGGUAGGGGAACUGAGAGGUUGAACCCCCACACUGGUACUGAGACACGGACCAGACUCCUACGGGAGGCAGCAGUGAGGAAUAUUGGUCAAUGGGCGAGAGCCUGAACCAGCCAAGUCGCGUGAAGGAUGACUGUCUUAUGGAUUGUGAACUUCUUUUAUACGGGAAUAACAAGAGUCACGUGUGACUCCCUGCAUGUACCGUAUGAAUAAGCAUCGGCUAACUCCGUG
rnacentral:rRNA from 1 species